rnacentral:misc_RNA from 1 species
GAUGAAGAACGCAGCGAAAUGCGAUACUUGGUGUGAAUUGCAGAAUCCCGUGAACCAUCGAGUUUUUGAACGCAAGUUGCGCCCGAAGCCAUUAGGCCGAGGGCACGCCUGCCUGGGCGUCACACGUCGUUGCCCCCCCAUCUACUCCUUCGGGAUUGCGAGGGGCGGAUGAUGGCCUCCCGUGCGCCUCGUCGCGCGGUUGGCAUAAAUGCCAAGUCCUCGGCGACGCACGCCACGACAAUCGGUGGUUGCGAAACCUCGGUUGCCCGUCGUGUGCGGUCGUCGCGCAUCGAGGGCUCGAAAAAAUUGCCGGGCUCCGGCUCGGCUUUCAACGCGACCCCAGGUCAGGCGGGGUUACCCGCUGAAUUUAAGCAUAUCAAUAAGCGGAGGA